GACGAACGCUGGCGGCGUGCCUAAUACAUGCAAGUCGAACGCAGUGGGGACGGGUGAGUAACACGUGGGUAACCUCCCAUCAGAGGGGAUAACACUUGGAAAAAGGUGCUAAACCGAUACUGAUGGAUGGACCCGCGGUGCAUUAGCUAGUUGGUGAGGUAACGGCUCACCAAGGCCACGAUGCAUAGCUGCCUUGGGAGGGGGACCGGCCACACGGGGACUGAGACAUGGCCCAGACUCUGACGUGAGGCAGCAGUAGGGAAUCUUCGGCAAUGGACGAAAGUUUGACGGAGCAACGCCGCGUGAUUGAAGAAGGUUUUCGGCUCGUAAACCUCUGUUGUUAGAGAAGCGGUAUCUAACCAGAAAGCCACGGCUAACUACGUGCCAGCAGCCGCGGUAAUUC
rnacentral:rRNA from 1 species